rnacentral:rRNA from 1 species
GCUCACACCGUGCAAGCGGCGGCGGGAGAGUGGAGGGGUCAAGCGUUAAUCGGACUGACUGGGCGUAAAGCGCACGCAGGCGGGUGGAUAAGUUAGAUGGGAAAGCCCCGGGCUCAACCUGGGAAUUGCAUUUAAAACUGUCCAGCUAGAGUGUGGUAGAGGGGGGUAGAAUUCCAGGUGUAGCGGUGAAAUGCGUAGAGAUCUGGAGGAAUACCGGUGGCGAAGGCGGCCCCCUGGACAAAGACUGACGCUCAUGCACGAAAGCGUGGGGAGCAAACAGGAUUAGAUACCCGGGUAGUC